AGGAGUGGAGCCUGCGGCUUAAUUUGACUCAACACGGGGAAACUUAUCAGGUCCGGACACCGGAAGGAUUGACAGAUUGAGAGCUCUUUCUUGAUUCGGUGGGUGGUGGUGCAUGGCCGUUCUUAGUUGGUGAAGUGAUUUGUCUGGUUAAUUCCGAUAACGAACGAGACUCUAGCCUGCUAACUAGGCGUAACUUACCGGUAUCCUGAAGGCUUGUGUCUCUCGUGUCCUGGCGCAUUCUAGCUGUGUUGUAUCAUCGCUUAGGUGAUGUGCAAUUGCACUGCGUGCGUUCAGUGCGGGAGUUCACAGUUUUUACUACCGGCGUACAUAUAAAUCUUCUUAGAGGGACAAGCGGCUUCUAGCCGCACGAGAUUGAGCAAUAACAGGUCUGUGAUGCCCUUAGAUGUUCUGGGCCG
rnacentral:rRNA from 1 species